rnacentral:hammerhead_ribozyme from 1 species
AUCCAACUGACGAGUUCCGAAUAGGACGAAAUGCGUGUUCUGGAU